rnacentral:lncRNA from 1 species
UGCAAUUUAUCUGCGAUAAUCUGAUAAAGUACAACAUGCACCAACUGAACAUUUGCUAGUAUAGCUAAAAUCUGAAGCUAUCCGACACAAGGACCAUCCAAUUUUCCAAGACAGUUAGUCACUAUGUGUGAACAAGGCCAGAGGACUAAAAUAUAAAAAGCAAGCUAAGUAUUCAUCAGCAGAUUUUUCUUGUGCUUGCUAUAUGUCUGAAACAAACAAUAGUCAAAGAAUGUACUUACGAACAGACGUAAGCAGACACCAUAUCAAUAGCUAACAGCAUCACACAGCAACCCGAUCACACAUCAAGAUGGAUUGAUGGAAAUGGAAAGAUAAAGUAUGCUCUGGCAGUAGAACCAAAAUUUCCUAACCUGUAACCAUGAAAAAUAUCUGAAUACAACAAAUUAUGUCUCAUCCAUGCCAUCUAAAGAUUCUGAACCAUCCAAACAAAUUUUAUACCAAGAUUGUGGAUGCAUUCCUGCAAAAGAAUAAGAUAAAGAAAAUGCAAUAAAAAACCUCAAGUGUAGGUUUGUUUGAAAUUCAGAUAUUUUGCACAUACCUUCUUUAUGAAUCUCCAAAGAAUCAAAUAUAAAUGAUGAGAAGGAUAUCAGGAUUGUCCUAGUAGAUAUGGAAUCCGAAUAGAAGUAAGCCACGAUUCCUUGCUUCCAUUGCCGCAUUUCACUCGUAACAGAGGCUUUGAAAACAAAUAUCCUUUGCUUAUUCGUGCUACUGUUGGAUCUAUGAGGCUAGGAAGACAGACCUUUUCGUUACGCAUUUAGCCAUAUUAGAUACCUGAAAAUUGAAAAAAGCCAAUUGAUAUGAGCACAUGAAACUACAAGAAGAUACCAACUCCUAGAUACUUUGCACUUUGAAUAUUUUAUUAAGUGAAUCUGUAAGACAUGCAGAUUAUGAAUAUCAAAUAUCUUCCCUAUGGUCUUAAAUGUGGGUCUAGAUGAAUAAACAUAUUAGUCAUUUGCAUUAGGAUUGGUAAGAUUCUAAUCACCCUAGACAAUAUAUGAAGUGCAAUUGUUUGACUUGUUCUAUAUCCAAUUUCAAUUGCUUUGUUCUAUGAAAUAAGGAAGACAAAGUGUAGUCUGAUUAGGAUGCAAGUCAAUUUUUAGGUUUUCAAGCAAGGGCUGACAUAGAUAUACAAACCAGAAGAAUUUCCCCCAUUUGAAUUACUUUAUAUGUUCACUACCAGUUUCAAAUGACAAAAGGAGCAAGUGAAAGUAAAAGAAAAGUGCAUAAAAGAAAAGGUACUCGCUUGAACAGAUCUGCAAAGCUUCAUACUUGUAUCAAUGUGCUUUGUAAUAAGCAUUACUGCAUUAGUAUACAAAUAGAAACAUCAUGAUACAUAAAGAUAGGCCAGGGACAUAUGUGUUACCUUGCAAAGCACCACAGGUUUGGCCAUCAUGUUUGCGCCACCUCUCCUAGUUUUCCGGUAGGAACAAAAAAUUAAAAUAUGUCGUGUUUUUUUCGCUACCACCACCAAACCCCAAACAACAUUUAAGAAAACCCAACAGCAUUUAAGAAAGCCCAACAGUACUGAUGCAUUUACCAUUCCAAUCCUUAUAAUACUAAACUGAAAUCUGAUUCUCUUGGAGGUUUGAAAAUAUUCGAAAAGAUCCAUCUUUGUAAUGCCAUUAACGAUUCAUGAGUACAAAAAUCGCCAAAUAGACCAAAAAAUUGCUAGAAGUAGCUCAGUUCAAGUGCUACAACAGGAACCUGCGUAUAUAAAUAUAACCGUAGUUCGAAGAGGUGGGCGCUCACAUCUUUCUCCACUGUCGGCUGUCACCACAGGGCACCACUCCAACCCCUUUGUUAUCAGCAUAUACCUAAAUAUUGGUACAGCCAAAUUUACAAAAUUUAUAUAUAUUGUAUGAUAACAAUAAAAAGUAUUUUUUUAGGCUAUAAACCAAAGGUGAUUGUCCAAAGUUUAUAUGCUGCUAUCAACUAUCUCUCUAUAUAUAGUGCACGUGCUCAACCAUUUUAUUUUAACUAUACAACUAACGCCUGUUAGCACAAGCGUAGAACAUAAAAUAGCUUGUUUAUCCUCUUGGCAAUAAAUUAAAACAGCGAACCCCAGUUUCUAGUUUUGCGUGUUUCGCUCGAAGAAAAAAUGUAAAUGAAAGUGAAAGCUCAGCCCAUUGCAUGAAUAGCUACUAUAUUAUUGGAAUCUGGAAAUUCUGGCUCACAUAUUGUUUGCCUUCAACCUUCGAAAAUUUAAACUGAAGAGUGGAGCGAUGUGGAAACCUAAGUAGCAGCAAUUUGUUUUCUGCUAACCUCCCUCUCAGAUAUCACUUCCUUCACCAACAAAAUAGAUGUGCACCCACAGGAUAAAAAUCCAUGUGUGUAGACCUAGCAAUGCAUGUGUGAGCUCAGAGUGUCGUUUUUUCGGCAAGGACAUGAAAGGUAACCCUUAACUAACCCUUGACAUCUGGCAGAAUUAAACACUACCUGCUUAUGUGCCCUCACCAACACGCUUCAUAUUGAUUUAGGAUGGUCUUGUCUAAAGCUAAAUUGUCUUCAUGUUCAUGCUGCAAUUUUCUUUGCCUUCAAACAAUAAAUUGUAGAUGUGGAAACAGUAGAGAAUAGUCUAUAUGCGCACCAAAUGAGGGCAACAGAAGUAUCACCCAUAUGAAAAACGUCACUAUGCGAGCAUAAAUUUUCAGGAAAUGAUAGCAUGGUGAGAUUCAUCGUGUAAUAAUGAUUAUAAGCACAGACAUACAUUUGAACAAACAGAAGAUUAAGAAAGGGGAACAUGCAACAAAAAAAGCUUUAGAAAAGCAGUACUAAUUUCACCUCUGCAACAGAGAAAGUACAAUUAGUUGGCAUUUCCUACUGAUGGCUAAUUGCCUGAAUAAAAAAUGAGCAGUAGGUAUAAUGAUGGUGUUAUUUUCUUCCGCAAGCACCAAAACUUCGCCAAAAAGGUAAAAUAUAUUGGGAGCAUUGUACCUUUAUUUUCGCUAUAAUCCUUGCUCUUGCUUCUAGAAUAUAUGAUGGCAAUGCGAGCUAGCCAGCGUCUUCAUAUUAGUCCUAUCCAAAAAGCACACCAAAGUUAACAGUUGGAUUGAUUGUAUUAUCUCUGAAAUGCCAUUAUCAGAAAUUUAGCUGAUGCUUAAUAGUAAAUAGAAGUGCAGGGCUUGCUUAUCACACUUACUUAGGACUCAUGGGCCUUAUCUAAUUCCCCUCCAAAGCAAACCAUCUUUCUAUGCGAAAUGGGCAAAUGUGUAGGCAAAAAUGCUAUAUACCAAAGAGUAUAUGGCAAUCUAAACUGAAGUGCUACUCACAAGAAACCGAAUAUGAUAACAUGUUGUUGCUUGCUCUAAUAAUAAAUAAGGUGUUGGAAAGGAGGGGGGUCUAUUUUAUUAUACAGUUUAGUUUAGUGAUCUGAUAAAAAAUAAGGGCAUGUCCAAACCAGACAUGCGCAAGAGCCUCAAAUCCAUCAGGACACUUUGGUUAGAUCAGAAUGAGCAGAAAUGAAAAAUAGUGGCAAAUUCAGCACAAGGGAAAACAAGUUUUGCAUCUACACAACAGUGAAGCAAGGUAAUGAGCUAAAUUAGUGGACCUAGCACAUAUCUGAUUCACUCUACACUGUAGGCUUACAUAGCAUCACAGUAAUCUCCGGUCACUCAUACGAAACCAAGCAAAUUGAAGACCAAGAUUUGCAUAUGGUAAAUGAAGGAAUGAAGCCAUACAUGCAGGAGAAAUUCGUCGCAUCGUGUUGCAAAACCAGAAAAGUAAAACCAAACCCCCUCUCCUAGAGCCUCUUCCCUAUGAUUUUCUUAGACACCAUGGGAAUGAUGAGGGCAGAAGUUUAGAGCUAGCAUGGAAAGGGACACCAUGGUACAUUGAAAAGGAGAGGCUCUUUGUACAGCAAAACAGCUCAGUGCACUCGGCGGGCAAGGUUGCGGAAGGAGGGUUGCUGCCAUCAGGGUAGGAAUCAACCCUCACCCAAACCCUAUCUGCAUAAGAACAAAAAAAGGAAGAAAUUAAUUAGUGGGAUGAGCUCAGGUCAAAAAAUGAGGAAAGGAGUAAGAAAGGGCUCACCUGUGCUGGUGUCUCCGCCACGAACUGGGAGCUGUCCUUGACAUCUCCUCUGCAGGUAGCCGUCUGGGUGGGGGCUCGACCAGGACGGAUUCGUCCAGUGUCACUCACUGUUGUCCUCACUCAAGUCUGCAGCACACUGUUGUCUGUGGCCUGCCUAGCUUUUGUGUGCCCUCUCCACCCUGCCUGAAUGGGAGAGAUUGGAGAGGGAUGAGGAGGGGUUGUGAGGAAGAGAGAGGACCCGUUGAAGAGAAAAAAAUAGAGGACCUGUGGAAGAGAGAAAAAGAGAGAAAGAGUGUUCACCUGUUCUGACUACAACACCCGGAGAACGAGCAAGCGGAAGCGGGAAGCGCGUGCAAAGGAGGUGUGGAGGAGGAUGUGGCCAUCGCCAUGAGGAGGAGCGGCGCCGCUGCUGCUUCACCCGUGGCCUUGAGGAGGAGCGGCGCCGCCGCUGCUGCGCAGAAGAGCGAAGCCAACACACAAUUAAAAGUCUGAAGGCUUCAUCUAACAUCAUAGGUCUUCAUGGGUCUAGAAAUCAACCUGGAUUUACUACCUGAAGAAAGGGAAAUAGGCAUGUACUUUGUCCAAGAUCUAGAAUGAUAUGUAUGAUACGAAAACACUCUGCAUCUAGCUAUUCAUAUAUGAAACAAAAUCAUAACAAUUUUACCUAAUCAAGGUAAUGAGCUUACAUGAGCACAUUCGCUGCUC